rnacentral:rRNA from 1 species
CCUACGGGAGGCAGCAGUAGGGAAUAUUGCUCAAUGGGGGAAACCCUGAAGCAGCAACGCCGCGUGGAGGAUGAAGGUUUUCGGAUUGUAAACUCCUUUUGUUAGAGAAGAUAAUGACGGUAUCUAACGAAUAAGCACCGGCUAACUCCGUGCCAGCAGCCGCGGUAAUACGGAGGGUGCAAGCGUUACUCGGAAUCAAUGGGCGGAAAGAGCGCGUAGGCGGGAUAGCAAGUCAGAUGUGAAAUCCUAUGGCUUAACAAAAGAACUGCAUUUGAAACUGUUAUUCUAGAGUAUGGGAGAGGUAGGUGGAAUUCUUGGUGUAGGGGUAAAAUCCGUAGAGAUCAAGAGGAAUACUCAUUGCGAAGGCGACCUGCUAGAACAUAACUGACGCUGAUGCGCGAAAGCGUGGGGAGCAAACAGGAUUAGAUACCCCGGUAGUC